CGGAGGGGCUAGCGUUGUUCGGAAUUACUGGGGCGUAAAGCGCACGUAGGCGGACUGGAAAGUUGGGGUGAAGUACCGGGGCCGUCAACCUCGGAACUGCCUUCAAAACUAAUCAGUCUGGAGGUUCGAGAGAGGUGAGUGGAAUUCCGAGUGUAGAGGUGAAAUUCGUAGAUAAUUCGGAGGAACACCAGUGGCGGAAGGCGGCUCACUGGCUCGAUACUGACGCUGAGGUGCGAAAAGCGUGGGGAGCAAACAGGAUU
rnacentral:rRNA from 1 species